AUUGUCACAGGAUAUAGCUCUGAAGAAUCCUGCGCUUAGCCUGGGCUGGGAAAGAUGAGAUUCCCGGGCAGUUUUUCCAGCGUCCGACUCGCUCCUCAGGCUGCUCGGGGGUCUCCCCGUUGCAAUAUGCGCCUUGCGCAGGGAAAAAAGAAUGGAAAGUUGCUGGUCUUCGAAAGGGGCGGACUUCGUCGCCACUUUCAGCGGCUCGUCGCCUGCUGAAUCCACAGCAGUCAAUACGUAUUUAUCGAGAAUCUAUUAUGUAAAAUGGUAGUGUUAUGAAAUACAUAUACAUAUAGGUUUUCAUACACAG
rnacentral:lncRNA from 1 species